rnacentral:rRNA from 1 species
UGGGGAAUUUUGGACAAUGGGCGAAAGCCUGAUCCAGCCAUGCCGCGUGAGUGAAGAAGGCCUUCGGGUUGUAAAGCUCUUUUAGUCGGAAAGAAAGAGUUGCAAUGAAUAAUUGUGAUUUAUGACGGUACCGACAGAAAAAGCACCGGCUAACUACGUGCCAGCAGCCGCGGUAAUACGUAGGGUGCGAGCGUUAAUCGGAAUUACUGGGCGUAAAGGGUGCGCAGGCGGUCUUGCAAGUCAGAUGUGAAAGCCCCGGGCUUAACCUGGGAAUUGCGUUUGAAACUACAAGGCUAGAGUGCAGCAGAGGAGAGUGGAAUUCCAUGUGUAGCAGUGAAAUGCGUAGAGAUGUGGAAGAACACCGAUGGCGAAGGCAGCUCCCUGGGUUGACACUGACGCUCAUGCACGAAAGCGUGGGGAGCAAACA